CAUGCAGUCGAGCGGUAGCACAGAGAGCUUGCUCUCGGGUGACGAGCGGCGGACGGGUGAGUAAUGUCUGGGAAACUGCCUGAUGGAGGGGGAUAACUACUGGAAACGGUAGCUAAUACCGCAUAAUGUCGCAAGACCAAAGUGGGGGACCUUCGGGCCUCAUGCCAUCAGAUGUGCCCAGAUGGGAUUAGCUAGUAGGUGGGGUAACGGCUCACCUAGGCGACGAUCCCUAGCUGGUCUGAGAGGAUGACCAGCCACACUGGAACUGAGACACGGUCCAGACUCCUACGGGAGGCAGCAGUGGGGAAUAUUGCACAAUGGGCGCAAGCCUGAUGCAGCCAUGCCGCGUGUGUGAAGAAGGCCUUCGGGUUGUAAAGCACUUUCAGCGGGGAGGAAGGCGUUAAGGUUAAUAACCUUGGCGAUUGACGUUACCCGCAGAAGAAGCACCGGCUAACUCCGUGCCAGCAGCCGCGGUAAUACGGAGGGUGCAAGCGUUAAUCGGAAUUACUGGGCGUAAAGCGCACGCAGGCGGUCUGUCAAGUCGGAUGUGAAAUCCCCGGGCUCAACCUGGGAACUGCAUUCGAAACUGGCAGGCUAGAGUCUUGUAGAGGGGGGUAGAAUUCCAGGUGUAGCGGUGAAAUGCGUAGAGAUCUGGAGGAAUACCGGUGGCGAAGGCGGGCCCCCUGGACAAAGACUGACGCUCAGGUGCGAAAGCGUGGGGGAGCAAACAGGAUUAGAUACCCUGGUAGUCCACGCCGUAAACGAUGUCGAUUUGGAGGUUGUGCCCUUGAGGCGUGGCUUCCGGAGCUAACGCGUUAAAUCGACCGCCUGGGGAGUACGGCCGCAAGGUUAAAACUCAAAUGAAUUGACGGGGGCCCGCACAAGCGGUGGAGCAUGUGGUUUAAUUCGAUGCAACGCGAAGAACCUUACCUGGUCUUGACAUCCACAGAACUUAGCAGAGAUGGAUUGGUGCCUUCGGGAACUGUGAGACAGGUGCUGCAUGGCUGUCGUCAGCUCGUGUUGUGAAAUGUUGGGUUAAGUCCCGCAACGAGCGCAACCCUUAUCCUUUGUUGCCAGCGGUUCGGCCGGGAACUCAAAGGAGACUGCCAGUGAUAAACUGGAGGAAGGUGGGGAUGACGUCAAGUCAUCAUGGCCCUUACGACCAGGGCUACACACGUGCUACAAUGGCAUAUACAAAGAGAAGCGACCUCGCGAGAGCAAGCGGACCUCAUAAAGUAUGUCGUAGUCCGGAUUGGAGUCUGCAACUCGACUCCAUGAAGUCGGAAUCGCUAGUAAUCGUAGAUCAGAAUGCUACGGUGAAUACGUUCCCGGGCCUUGUACACACCGCCCGUCACACCAUGGGAGUGGGUUGCAAAAGAAGUAGGUAGCUUAACCUUCGGGAGGGCGCUUACCACUUUGUGAUUCAUGACUGGGGUGAAG
rnacentral:rRNA from 1 species